rfam:Burkholderia sp. STM 7296 strain STM7296 genome assembly, contig: BN2475_Contig_074
AGAGUCAUACGUUGAAGGCCUAGCCAGCCACGGCGGCCCCGAGUCAUGCGUGUGUACCCGUGAGGGUGCAGGCGAAGCGUUGACAGGGGUACGCCCGGGCCGGGUAUUGAGCCGCGAAAUAAACUCCUCGUGGCAUGAGCUACGAGAUGAUCGGGGUGCCGAGGCGCUGGAUCUACGCCGAAGGCCACACCGACGCUGCCGCAUUGGCGAGGCAGUGCCGGACCCCGCGCGGUCAGAGACCC